AUACACUCUUCUAUCAGAAAAGAAAGAAAUUAAAUAGUUCGAAAUAUGCUGUCUAUUGUCUAUCAAAAACAGAAUAUAUGUACCAUAUAAUACCUUACCUAGAGUAUUCCCUUUCUCUUUUUCUUCUCUGCGUGUCUUCUCUCUCUCUC
rnacentral:ribozyme from 14 species